UUACGGCCAUUUCAUGUUGGAACACUGGUUCACGUACGAUCACUAAAGUUAAGUAACGUUGAGCUUGGUCAGUACUCUGAUGGGUGACAGCUUGGGAAUAACAGAUGC